AGUCGAACGCGAAAGGGGACUUCGGUCCCUGAGUAAAGUGGCGCACGGGUGAGUAACACGUGGAUAAUCUGCCCGGUGACCCGGAAUAACAUCCCGAAAGGGGUGCUAAUACCGGAUAAGCUCACGAGAUCUUCGGAUCUUGCGGGAAAAGGUGGGGACCUUCGGGCCUACCGUCACCGGAUGAGUCCGCGGCCCAUUAGCUAGUUGGUGGGGUAAUGGCCUACCAAGGCUUCGAUGGGUAGCUGGUCUGAGAGGAUGAUCAGCCACACUGGAACUGAGACACGGUCCGGACUCCUACGGGAGGCAGCAGUGGGGACUUUUGCGCAAUGGGCGAAAGCCUGACGCAGCAACGCCGCGUGAGGGAUGAAGGCCUUCGGGUCGUAAACCUCUGUCAGAGGGGAAGAACCGUCGGUGGGAUAAUACCCCAUCGGCCUGACGGUACCCUCAGAGGAAGCACCGGCUAACUCCGUGCCAGCAGCCGCGGUAAUACGGAGGGUGCAAGCGUUGUUCGGAAUUAUUGGGCGUAAAGCGCGUGUAGGCGGCCACUUAAGUCUGGUGUGAAAGCCCUGGGCUCAACCCGGGAAGUGCAUCGGAUACUGA
rnacentral:rRNA from 1 species